rnacentral:siRNA from 1 species
UGGAGAUGCCCUAACACACAAU